rnacentral:rRNA from 1 species
UACAGAGGGUGCGAGCGUUGUUCGGAAUUACUGGGCGUAAAGCGCGCGCAGGCGGCCUUUUAAGUCUGACGGUGAAAUGCCGGGGCUCAACCCCGUGCCCGCCGCGGAUACUGGGAGGCUGGAGACACGUAGAGGCAAGCGGAAUUCCGGGUGUAGCGGUGGAAUGCGUAGAGAUCCGGAAGAACACCGGAGGCGAAGGCGGCUUGCUGGGCGUAGUCUGACGCUGAGGCGCGAAAGCGUGGGGAGCGAACAGG